GAUGAACGCUGGCGGCGUGCUUAACACAUGCAAGUCGAACGGAAAGGCCAGUGCUUGCCCUGGUACUCGAGUGGCGAACGGGUGAGUAACACGUGGGUGAUCUGCCCUGUACUUCGGGAUAAGCUUGGGAAACUGGGUCUAAUACCGGAUAGGACAACUUUUUGGAUAUUGUUGUGGAAAGCUUUUGCGGUAUGGGAUGAGCUCGCGGCCUAUCAGCUUGUUGGUGGGGUAAUGGCCUACCAAGGCGUCGACGGGUAGCCGGCCUGAGAGGGUGUACGGCCACAUUGGGACCGAGAUACGGCCCAGACUCCUACGGGAGGCAGCAGUGGGGAAUAUUGCACAAUGGGCGCAAGCCUGAUGCAGCGACGCCGCGUGGGGGAUGAAGGCCUUCGGGUUGUAAACUCCUUUCGCUAGGGACGAAGCUUUUUUGUGACGGUACCUGGAGAAGAAGCACCGGCUAACUACGUG
rnacentral:rRNA from 1 species